ensembl:lncRNA
UAUAUAGGGAUUACUAAUGUUGUUUUUGAUGGUGCUUCUUUCUGGAACGAGUAUUCGAAUACUCGCUCGAAAAACCAACGAGUAUUCAAAGCCUGAAAAAUGGCAUUCGGGCCAGCCCUAGUAUCAGGUUAAAUGGUUUGAUCCAGAUAUGUAGGGUUAUAGUGGGGGUAUGAGGUUAAAUGGUUUGAUCCAGAUAUGUAGGGGUUAUAGUGGGGGUAUCAGGUUAAAUGGUUUGAUCCAGAUAUGUAGGGUAGUGGGGGUAUCAGGUUAAAUGGUUUGAUCCAGAUAUGUAGGGUUAUAGUGGGGGUAUGAGGUUAAAUGGUUUGAUCCAGAUAUGUAGGGGUUAUAGUGGGGGUAUCAGGUUAAAUGGUUUGAUCCAGAUAUGUAGGGUAGUGGGG